rnacentral:misc_RNA from 1 species
AGCAGCCGCGGUAACUCCAGCUCCAAUAGCGUAUAUUAAAGUUGUUGCAGUUAAAAAGCUCGUAGUUGAAUUUCGGGAUCAGUUGGUCGGUCGUGCCUCGGUACGUACUGGUCAAAUUGAUUCCUACCUUCUGACGAACCACGAUGUCAUUAAUUUGGUGUCGUGGGAAAUCAGGACUGUUACUUUGGAAAAAUUAGAGUGUUUAAAGCAGGCUCGCGCUUGAAUACAUUAGCAUGGAAUAAUGAAAUAGGACGUUUGAUUCUAUUUUGUUGGUUUCUAGGAUCGACGUAAUGAUUAAUAGGGAUAGUUGGGGGCAUUAGUAUUCAAUUGUCAGAGGUGAAAUUCUUGGAUUUAUUGAAGACUAACUACUGCGAAAGCAUUUGCCAAGGAUGUUUUCAUUAAUCAAGAACGAAAGUUAGGGGAUCGAAGACGAUCAGAUACCGUCGUAGUCUUAACCAUAAACUAUGCCGACUAGGGAUCGGAUGAUGUUAAUUUUUAAUGUACUCAUUCGGCGCCUUAC